UACGGAGGGUGCGAGCGUUGUCCGGAAUCACUGGGCGUAAAGGGCGCGUAGGCGGCGCGGGUAGUCAUCGGUGAAAGUUCAGGGCUCAACUCUGAAUCGGCCGGUGAUACUCCCGUGCUCGAGCACUGUAGAGGCAGGUGGAAUUCCGGGUGUAGCGGUGGAAUGCGUAGGAGAUCCGGAAGAACACCGGUGGCGAAGGCGGCCUGCUGGGCAGUAGCUGACGCUGAUGCGCGACAGCGUGGGGAGCGAACAGG
rnacentral:rRNA from 1 species